rnacentral:rRNA from 1 species
AGAGUUUGAUCCUGGCUCAGGAUGAACGCUAGCGGCAGGCCUAACACAUGCAAGUCGAGGGAGAGGUUACCUUCGGGUAACCAAAACCGGCGCACGGGUGCGUAACGCGUAUACAAUCUGCCUUUCACAUAGGGAUAGCCCGAAGAAAUUUGGAUUAAUACCUAAUGGUAUAUAGGAGCGGCAUCGUUUUUAUAUUAAAGCUACGGUGGUGAAAGAUGAGUAUGCGUUCUAUUAGCUAGUUGGAGAGGUAACGGCUCCCCAAGGCGACGAUAGAUAGGGGUUCUGAGAGGGAUGUCCCCCACACUGGUACUGAGAUACGGACCAGACUCCUACGGGAGGCAGCAGUGAGGAAUAUUGGACAAUGGUCGGAAGACUGAUCCAGCCAUGCCGCGUGCAGGAUGAAGGUCCUAUGGAUUGUAAACUGCUUUUGUAAGGGAAGAAUAAGGAGUACGAGUACUUUGAUGACGGUACCUUACGAAUAAGCAUCGGCUAACUCCGUGCCAGCAGCCGCGGUAAUACGGAGGAUGCGAGCGUUAUCCGGAAUCAUUGGGUUUAAAGGGUCCGUAGGCGGGCUGAUAAGUCAGAGGUGAAAGCGCUUAGCUCAACUAAGCAACUGCCUUUGAAACUGUCAGUCUUGAAUGAUUGUGAAGUAGUUGGAAUGUGUAGUGUAGCGGUGAAAUGCUUAGAUAUUACACAGAACACCGAUAGCGAAGGCAUAUUACUAACAAUUUAUUGACGCUGAUGGACGAAAGCGUGGGGAGCGAACAGGAUUAGAUACCCUGGUAGUCCACGCU